ACAGAUCGUUCAGAGUUUGAUCCUGGCUCAGGAUGAACGCUGGCGGCGUGCCUAACACAUGCAAGUCGAGCGAUCUUCUUCGGAAGAGAGCGGCGGACGGGUGAGUAACGCGUGGGUAACCUGCCCUGUACACACGGAUAACAUACCGAAAGGUAUGCUAAUACGAGAUAAUAUGCUUUUAUCGCAUGGUAGAAGUAUCAAAGCUUUUGCGGUACAGGAUGGACCCGCGUCUGAUUAGCUAGUUGGUGAGGUAACGGCUCACCAAGGCGACGAUCAGUAGCCGACCUGAGAGGGUGAUCGGCCACAUUGGAACUGAGACACGGUCCAA
rnacentral:rRNA from 1 species